rnacentral:rRNA from 1 species
AAGUCGUAACAAGGUUUCCGUAGGUGAACCUGCGGAAGGAUCAUUAGUGAAUUAAACAUGCUUGGUGUCUUCGCUUCGGCAAGGCCCUUGCUUAAAUCACAUCCUAACACCUGUGAACUGUAAGACGUAUGAUGAGGUCUUUGGCCAAGUCAUCGUCUGCCCAUUUUUAACAAACAAUUAAUGUAACAAACGUAGUCUUAUUAUAACCUAAUAAAACUUUCGACAACGGAUCUCUUGGCUCUCGCAUCGAUGAAGAACGCAGCGAAAUGCGAUAAGUAAUGUGAAUUGCAGAAUUCAGUGAAUCAUCGAAUCUUUGAACGCACCUUGCGCUCUUUGGUAUUCCGAAGAGCAUGCCUGUUUGAGUGUCAUGAAAAUAUCAACCUUGACUUGGGUUUUGUGCUCUAGUCUUGGCUUGGAAUUGGGUGCUUGCCGCUUUUACGAGCGGCUCACCUUAAAUGUAUUAGCUGGAUCUGUCUUUGAGACUUGGUUUGACUUGGCGUAAUAAGUAUUUCGCUAAGGACAUUCUUCGGAGUGGCCUCGUUUCUAGGACGCUUGUCCGCUUCCCAAUACAAGUUCCACCUCGUGGACAUGACUUUUUUAUUAUCUGGCCUCAAAUCAGGUAGGACUACCCGCUGAACUUA